rnacentral:rRNA from 1 species
UGCCAGCAGCCGCGGUAAUACGAAGGUGGCUAGCGUUGUUCGGAAUCACUGGGCAUAAAGCGCGCGUAGGCGGCUCUGUCAGUCAGGUGUGAAAGCCCUCGGCUCAACCGAGGAAUUGCGCCUGAUACUGCAGGGCUUGAGGUCUGGAGGGGAGAACGGAAUUCUCGGUGGAGCGGUGAAAUGCGUAGAGAUCGAGAGGAACACCGGUGGCGAAAGCGGUUCUCUGGACAGAUUCUGACGCUGAGGUGCGAAAGCUAGGGGAGCAAACGGGAUUAGAUA